rnacentral:rRNA from 1 species
UGGGGGGGCCUUAACAUGCCAGUCGAGCGGAAGGCCCCUUCGGGGGUACUCGAGCGGCGAACGGGUGAGUAACACGUGAGUAAUCUGCCCUUCACUUUGGGAUAACCCCCGGAAACGGGAGCUAAUACCGGAUACGACUGCCGGCCGCAUGGUCUGGUGGUGGAAACUUUUUUGGGCGGGGGAUGUGCUCGCGGCCUAUCAGCUUGUUGGUGGGGUAAUGGCCUACCAAGGCUUUGACGGGUAGCCGGCCUGAGAGGGUGAUCGGCCACACUGGGACUGAGACACGGCCCAGACUCCUACGGGAGGCAGCAGUAGGGAAUCUUCGGCAAUGGGCGAAAGCCUGACCGAGCAACGCCGCGUGAGCGAUGAAGGCCUUCGGGUCGUAAAGCUCUGUUGUUAAGGAAGAACAAGUACGAGAGUAACUGCUCGUACCUUGACGGUACUUAACGAGAAAGCCACGGCUAACUACGUGCCAGCAGC